GGGGACGAUUUGGUUUUGACGGAUUAUUCAAGGCAAAGUUAAGCAUGCUGUGGGGCAGGUCACAUAAAAAAGGCAAAACAAAUAAAUGAAAAUAACAAUUUAAGAGCUGCUGCUUGCUAAUUUAAAAGUAGUAAUUUUAUUAAAUUUCCCACAAAGAUUUGAUAAAGUUUUAGUUUUAUUGUGGUAAAUUAAACAAAUUGCCCGCUUUGUUUUCUUCAUUUUGGGAUUGUUGUAAUGAGUUUUGAAUGUUUAAUCAUUAUAAUGAAAAAAUAAAUAUUCUAAGCGUGUAGAAAGAUUUUGUUGAGGUUUUUCGGACACGGGUUCGACCCCCGUCGUCUCCACCA
rnacentral:tmRNA from 1 species